CGAGCGCGCUGACGGUUGAAGCGCUUCUGCCGACCGGACGCGCGGACCGUCAGGCUGUGCCGCCGCGCAUGCCUCAAAGCUCGGCCUCGCUGCAGAAGCGGGAAGGAAGGUGGCGGUUGCCAGGCCAGUGGGGUGAAGAAACCACUGAUGGCCGUGAUUAUCUCUGGGGCAGGGAAGCAAGCACAGAUGAAGUUCAACUGGACUUGAUUGUUGCAAGUUUUUACAAAGAAAUACUGAUUCCACAAAUACGUAGCCACUGCUAAUUGUAUAUUCCACCCACUCUGCUUGGAUUCAAAGGGACGACUUCGGGUGAACCUGGUAGCACCUUAGCACGCAUCCAAGCCAAGGUACCAAAGCACGCGAGUGCCCACGUGCCCAUCACCACGGACUCGCAGCAGAAACACACUCAUUUCACUUAAUGUCCUUGAUGAAGCAAAAAACAAAAUCCCAAGCUUAUUGGGGCGCCUGGGUGGCUCAGUCAGUUGAGCGCCUGACUUUGGCUCAGGUCGUGAUCUCGCGGUUCGCGGGUUCGAGCCCUGCGUUGGGCUCUGCGCUGACAGCUCAGAGCCCUGGAACCUGCUUCAGAUUCCAUGUCACCCCUUUCUCUAUGCCCCUCCCCCACUCAUGCUCUGCCUCUCAAAAGUGAAUAAAGAUUAAAAAAAAAAUUUAAAAAAAAUCAAGCUUAUUAAAUCCUUACACUUUAACAC